ACUCACCACCUCUCUUCUGAACUGUAACCUCCUAAUAGCUUCUGGACUAACUCCUUCUUAAAAUCAUAUUCCACCCUAGAACUAAAGUGAAAAAUCUAAAAUCUAAAUUUGUCCUUUCAUUCUCCUGCUGCAGCCACCAACUUACACUUGUCAUUUGAAAACUCACCUUGCGAACUCUCUUCUCUGUGCCUUUGAUUAUGCUGGGAAUGCCCUGCCCACUUCCCUUAGCUUGUAAAUUCUUAUUCAUCAUUUAAGACAGAAUUCAGAUGUUAUCACUUUCACAAGCCCACAGGGUGAGUUGUGACUCCCUGUCAGAGCACCUUUUGACUAACUGGCCUGGGGAAUAGCUAGGAAGACUAGCAGUCUCCCAAGACAUUCCCUUGAUGAAUUGACCAGUUCAGGGUCCCGUACUCAACCUGAAAGAUUCAGAAACCUAAUUUCAUCAGCAUAUUGAGAACAGAGCCAUCUCUUAGUGACAGAAAAUGUAUAACUUCUUGAAAAAUGUAUAAAAUAAGAAUAGCAACAGAUUAAUUACGAUAAGAACUUUAACUGUCCUAAGAACUGUAAUACUGGAGUUUAUGAGACCAGUGCAUUCUUUCCUUGCAGGCAGACUUACCCAUGGAGAUGAAUGAGAAUCAGAACACUGGAAGUUAAAUAAAUCCAACAACUAAUGGAAUCAGGCUCAAAAAGUAGUGCCUAUAGCAGUUAUGGACAGAUCAGAUGUGGGUGUGAGAGAAAAGGUGAGAAGCUGGAAGUCGGAGUGGCCAUUGGCCAAGAAGCAGAAGACUGUGAAAGGAGCAGGUUGGAGGUGGACAGCUCUCAGGAGCUCAGUGUUGAGUAAGGUGAGUUUGAGAUGCCUGCUGGGCAUCCAGCCAGUGAGGUCAAGGAGGCAGUUUUCUCUGUGGUCUGUGAGAGUCUCGCUGAAGGUGUAAAGACUGGAUGAAGUCAUCAAAGAAGUAAGUAUUGUUAGCAAAGAGAAGGAAAGUUCCGAGGACUGAGCCCUGGGUACCCCAACAAUUAGAGUCGGAAACUGAGAAGGAUCCCUCAAAAGUGACUGAAAAUCCAGAGACGAAAGGAAAUUUGUGGUUGCCAGGGGCUGGGGGCAGGGGAAAUCAGGAGUGACUGCUACUGAGUAAGGGUUUCUUUUUGAGGUGAUGAGAAAGUUCUGGAACUAGAUGGCAGUGAUGGCUGUACAAUAUUGUGAAUGUAUUCAAUGCCACUGAAUUGUACGCUCCAAAAUGGCCAAAAUGGUCAAUUUUGUGUUAUGUAUAUUUUAUCACAAUAAAAAUUGUAAAAGUUAAAAAAAAGAAAGAAAAAGUGACUGAGGACAGCCUGAGAGUAGGAGAGCCAGGGGAGUGUGGCCCGGACAUGCACCCGUAGUCCAAAGCACCAGUGCUUCCUUCCUGGGUAUGGCAGCUGCCUCCUAACUUGCCAUCUGCUUAUACUUCUCUCUCUUCCCUCCACCAGGUCAAUUCUCAACGUAUCAGCCUAUGAUGACUGCUUUCUUAACUAUAUGUUUUUUCUACCCUCUGCAGGGUGAUGAAGGUUUGGAGAGGUUCCAACUGUGCCCCUGAAUCCUGAGAGGAAAGGAACCAGCCUCUAAGGAGGUGAUGGAAGGAAAGUGCAGAACUGGAGUCCAACCAACGCUGCUUCAACAGAGAAAAGUGCACCCGCUUUCUGUGGGUCGCCAGUGGAGAGGUGGAAAGAAUCAGACACCCAGGGGUCAAGGGACCCUGUGACCACAGACCUAGCUAAAAAGCAAAUGUUAAUUGUACAGCAACUGCCGUGGCAAGCAGUGAAGACAGCUCAAGUUCCUGUUCUCAGAGACCUUACAGUCAAGUAGAGAGAGA